ensembl:lincRNA
CCUCCGCGUGUGCACACGCAGGACACCGAGGCCCGGGAGGAAGGGGACCAGCAGCCUCUGCGCGCCGGUCAUCUACAUACGCCACGCCCCCUGCCGGGAUGUCCCGGAUGUCAUGUUCUUCCAGGCGGGGGCGCGGGACCUACUAACCCCACCCGAGACUCGCCGGUGUCUCGGGAGGGGAGCGCGCGGGCGAGCGGCGACCGGUCUGGACCUGGAGCUGGGGAACCUGGGAAGACACGAGACCGCAGUGCCCCGCAGUUGAGGGGUGGGUCGGGACUCGGGUCUGGUCUCACCUUCCUUUCAGCAAGAAGAAAAUAUCAGCCCUUUUUUGCAGUUCCCUGUCUGAACUCAUUUUCUAGUCAUGGAAAGCUCAGGAAAGACCUAUUUGCCGGUUUACAUUAAGCGCUAAAGCCGCCUUAAUAGGAAAGCGUGGUAAUGUUUCUUCACGGUGUCUUUUUAAGUAAAAGUGACGAAAGUGCUUCGGGAUAUGUAGCCUAUCCUAGUGAUGCUGGAAGGAAAGCCCGGGGUCCUAUUGCAGAGAGAAAACCAGGUGAGAGCGCGAGCGGUCGCCUCCACCGCACCAGGCGGGGGCUCCCGGAGCGCGGUGCUCGGGGUCAGGAGCCCUUGCCCUUGGGCCCCGCCCCCGCAUCCCACCCCCCACCCCCGCCUGCUGCCCCAACGGGCAGACACUGGGCGGCCCCCCAGGUGUCCUUCGGUCCUUUCCGAUCUGCAUCGUACAAAGCAUAUCGGCAAUCAUUCAGAGGUAGCAACUUCACAAAAGAUGUGUAGGGGUCCUCUACAGUAUCACCAAUGUCACCCACCAAGAUCUGCUUUGCUUCCUCUACAAUUAUUUGUCUUUUGUCAUCGCUUAAACAGAAGAGAACUGCUUUCUUUCUUUUUUUGAUCUCCUCUUGUGUAGAAGAUUUCCUUACUUUCAUAUCAUUAAAAACUUUGAUGACUUCAUCAUUCACUGUAACUCCAGAAGCCUGAAAGUAAAGAAAGGACAGAAAUUCAGAACAAGUAAUUCGGUUUUAACCAAAAUUACUGUUUGCUCGAGAGGAUUCACUUUAGUCUGGACAUCAAAAGUUGCAUCAUACCAUGCAAGCCGUCUAAUCAGAUUUGCCACAUUUUAAGUAUCAGUAUAUGAUGUACCUAAGGGUUCUAACUCAUCCUGCUUCAUUCAUUCUUUUUUAAAAAGGUGUGUGGAGGUUGAAGCAAGUGGAAGGUAGACGGAAAGGGACAAAUACAGGCUGUCCCAUCCCUGAAAUGUUUCCUAUUUCACUGGGUGAUGUCAGAGCUUCAGGAGCAGCAGCAAAAAUACCUUCUGUAUUGUGUCAACCCGGCAGGCCUUAAAAAAACACUUUUGGAUUUCAGUUAAUGCUUCUACUAUUUUUUUCUUUAAAGUCAUCCUAGCCAGUGCCGUUUCCUCAUAAGGAAAGAGAAUCAAGUGUGAACUCCAAACCGCCCACGGCUACAACAUAAUUGACUCACAGCUCAAAUGCAGGCACUUCAAAACUAACGGAUCGCGUGUAAAAAGCUUUUUACGGCGAGAAAGCAUUUUCAAGAGUUUUCCCACCUCCUUAAUCUCCCCCUAAGGGUUUUAUGACAGGCCCUCAAGACGCUCAGCCUUCAGCGAGGGGUUUUUACCGCACAUACCGAAUUGAGAGCGCGCGUGGGAAUAAAAUAAGGAAGCGAAGGGCAAAGGAGGAGAGCUGGGUGGGAUGGCGGGGCAACAGCUCGGCGGACCCUCCCGCGCCCUCGGCCUCCGCCCGCCCGGCU